CCUACGGGAGGCUGCAGUGAGGAAUAUUGGGCAAUGGCCGGAAGGCUGAACCAGCCAUGCCGCGUGAAGGUCAGUGCCCUAUGGGCGUUAAACUUCUUUUGUGCGGGAGCAAUAAUGGUCACGUGUGGCCAGACGAGAGUACCGUACGAAUAAGCAUCGGCUAACUCCGUGCCAGCAGCCUCGGUAAUACGGGGGAUGCAAGCGUUAUCCGGAUUUAUUGGGUUUAAAGGGUGCGUAGGCUGUGAGGUAAGUCAGCGGUGAAAUGCCCCGGCUCAACGGGGUGAAGUGCCAUUGAUACUGGCUGGCGGGAAUGCGGAUGCGGUGGGAGGAAGGUGUGGUGUAGCGGUGAAAUGCAUAGAUAUCACACAGAACACCGAUUGCGAAGGCAUGUAACGAAGCCGCGAUUGACGCUGAGGCACGAAAGCGUGGGUAUCAAACAGGAUUAGAUACCCCUGUAGUC
rnacentral:rRNA from 1 species